GUCAAAUGACAAUGCUAAAUUGACACUGACAAGAAAUAGGGGCUGAGCAGAUCACAUGGAUGGUGCAAACUUGUUACUAAAUCUUUACUGUCUGAACACAGAAAGGCAAGGCAGAUGGAUCCAAACAAGUAAAUGAUUAAAAACUAAUGUUACAAACGUGUGAUUUUGUAUCUUCUGUCCUUUAUCAUCUGUUGCCACUACAAGGCUGCCAAAACUUGAAGGAGUGUGUGUCUGUACAGCAUCUGCAGUUCUUCAUUUAUAAUGUUAGUUAGAUAUUUACCCCUGGUAGUUACUACAAGAAAAUAUACAAUAAAUAUUUCUGUUUGUUUCAAAUCUUAAUAGUUCCUCCUCAUUAAAACACACACACAUGAGAUGGCAUUUCCAUUUCCCUGUAGACAAAACCCAGCUUUGUUUAAACAGAUCUGGGCUGACAGAUCAUUUUCAGCCAUUGCAGAGUUGUUUUCAUAUCAGUCUGGUCUUAAUAGCACAGUAUACUACAUUUUAGUACCCGAAAAUAAGAACACUGGCCACAGCAAACCAGACUAAGUUGUUGGCAAACACUCACUAGGCUUGAAUGGGAUUCCAGACACCUCUCCGUGCUUGGAAUUGCAAGCAUAAUAGGUGCAUGACCCUGUACGUGUUGUUGAACUUCAUCAGAUUCAUGAAGCCCACCUCCACAGCCUGUCAAGGAUGGAUGGCUGCGAUGCCCUCUGGUGAGUCAGCCACUCCCAAAAGUUCUGUGUUGCUUGUGAAUUUACUGAGGGUGUUUCUCUAUCAUGUGUUACUUUGGCACAGCUAAUUCUCUUCAGAGACAACAUAAACUCAACAUAUGGCCUUAUGCUGAGGGGACUGAGCUUAAACACAGGUGAGCAGACUGGAGGCUGGUUAUUAUGCUAAUGGCUAGUGGAAGAGGUUAGACUGGAGAUACUGGGAGACAUCCUUACAUUGACUAAUAAUCUGAUAGGUAAAAAAUGCCCUUGAGAAGUGAUAGGGAGAGACAGAGAUGAUUUUUGUAUCUGCUUCAAAUCCUUAUAUUCCAGAUCUUCUCAUAUUGCUGUUGACUUCCUUUUUUUUUUUUUUUUGGGGGGGUGGGUGGGGGGAAUAGGGUGGUUUUCUGAUUUUAUUUUAUUUUUUUCUUUUGACCAGAGAUUUAAUUCUGGACAAGACAAAUGUUUUGUCCAAAGCUUAUAUCUUAACAGAAAAAAAGUCCUUGUUUUGAAAGAUUAUUAUUUUUAGACACACACACACAAAAAAGUCAAACAACAAAAAAUUUAAUACAAAAAAAUCAGUAGAUACUUAGAAUGUCUUCUCAGCUGGGUGUAUAAAAAAUUCACUUCUGUCUUCUGAGCAUAAUUAAAAGUAGCACGGAUGGGCUCUGGGAAGGAGAAUCACUGGGAUGACAAGAAAGCACAGGUACUGCACUAGACAUGCUCAUGUGUACUAACAAUCUUUUGGGGGUAAAGAAAAAUAAUUGUAAACAAUGGCAUGAUGCAUAAAGACAGGGUGGAAAGCAGUAACAGUGUAGUACAAUUACUGAAACAAUCAUUUUUUACCUUGUGUUUAUUCCUUGUUACAUCAUCUCAAAGGAUUAUGGACUGAUCUUAAGCUUCAAUGGUUUAUGGAUGUGAUUGACAAUUCAUUUGUUAUAACCUAUGUUUUAUUCCCGUAUGUAUAUAGAUCUCAGAUAAAAAUAGUGUAUGAGAUAACUUCAAUUUAGAAAGCAGCCUAGAAAGCACCGCAGAACAUGUAACCAGUAAUGGCAAGAUAUUGGGGGGAAAAAAAAAAAGUUAUUUAAGGUCCUGCGUAUGGAAAUGAAGUAAAUAUGCAACAAACUCUAGUUCCACAGGUCUAUAAUCAAAAGAAACUUCACAGGAGUUACUACUGAAUCAUUUUUGUUCCAGGUCUGUUCCAACUGCUCACGUGUACAAUGUGCUGAACAAUGCCAUCUUCCAAAUACGCAUAAACUCACAUGCAGAUGAGGAUGAGAUUGUAUUGUCCUGUUCACUAUAAAGACCCUGUGUGCUGAUUUCAGCUCUUGUCUACUACCCUUUUUUCUGAACUGCUGUUUUCCAUGCUUUUCAGUGAUUUUUAUUUUUAUAUUUUAAUGAAUAUGUGCAGUAAUAAAGAACAUUUGGUACACUCUUCUGAUAGUGGCUAUUUAAUUUCUUGAUGAAUAGAUGCUGAGUUCUCACUCCCCUCAGACUUCAUCUGUAGUAUUCCUUCCAUAGCAGUUAAUACAUAUCCUGGAAAUGGUGCUUUUUAUGUUGUUUGCUUGUUACAGAAGCAAAGAAGAGAAUGUCCAUUAAUAUGAACACUUAUGUUAGAAUGAAUGAUGCCCCAUUUGACUCAACAAGUACAGUUUUCAAUUAAGUAGGUCCUGUCCUUUUGCCAAAAUCUAGCUGUACAACAUAUUGGCAGACUUCUCUGGUAUUUGCUUUCCCCAACACUGAUAAAAUAGGAGAAAAAUGUUCUUACUGAAAAGAUUUGGGAGACAGAAGAGUGGUUGUUUUAACUCUCCUGAGCCUGUUUUUAGGCAUUCCGAAUACGCUGGUGCUAAAACUUAAUGCAAACUGUAGGUGGCACCAUUUGUAUAAAUUUUGCAGACCACUAGGGAAAAAAAGUUCCCCCUUUGUAGAAUUUCCUGGUAGCUUGCCGUGAUCGUAUAGUGGUUAGUACUCUGCGUUGUGGCCGCAGCAACCUCGGUUCAAAUCCGAGUCACGGCAAAGAAGGGUGUACUUUUUGGAGAGAUGUAACUAGAGACUGCGUAUUAAAAAUUAUCUAUUAAUGAUGUCUAAUAGUAAGAUGGGAAAGCAACCAGAGGCUCUGUAGUUGUUUUGCUAAAAUAAUAUGUGACACAAAUAUUAUUUUACUAAUCCAGUUGCCGAGUGUGAUUUUUUUAGAAUUAUUUAUUCAAAUGUUGAUGGAUAUUGUGAUAAACAUUGUGGCAUAAUGAGCAUGUAAUUUCUACUCAUAGCAUCUACUUAAGACCUGGACUGAGCAAUGAUGUCUGCCUGGUUUUCAUCUUUGCUAGUUUUAUAUACUAACACAAAAGCCUGAAUUGAUUGGAAAUAGGACAGUGGUA
rnacentral:tRNA from 1 species